rnacentral:ncRNA from 1 species
GUCCCGCGUCACCGGGUCAUGUGACACCCUCCCUGUUGGACUGACCCGGGCCCGGUGCCCGGGUUUUUUU